rnacentral:rRNA from 1 species
UACGUAGGGUGCGAGCGUUGUCCGGAAUUAUUGGGCGUAAAGAGCUCGUAGGCGGUGUGUCGCGUCGGCCGUGAAAACCUGCAGCUUAACUGUGGGCUUGCGGUCGAUACGGGCAUCACUGGAGUUCGGGCAGGGGAGACUGGAAUUCCUGGUGUAGCGGUGAAAUGCGCAGAUAUCAGGAGGAACACCGAUGGCGAAGGCAGCUCGCUGGGACGGUACUG